rnacentral:rRNA from 1 species
GAUGAACGCUAGCGGCAGGCCUAACACAUGCAAGUCGAACGGUAAUCUCGACUUCGGUCGAGAACGAGUGGCGAACGGGUGCGUAACGCGUAUACAAUCUACCUUUUACAGGGGAAUAGCCUUUAGAAAUGAAGAAUAAUACCCCAUAGUUCCCGAUUACCGCAUGGUACGUCGGGAUAAAGAUUUAUCGGUAAAAGAUGAGUAUGCGUUCUAUUAGCUAGAUGGUAAGGUAACGGCUUACCAUGGCUACGAUAGAUAGGGGCCCUGAGAGGGGGAUCCCCCACACUGGUACUGAGACACGGACCAGACUCCUACGGGAGGCAGCAGUGAGGAAUAUUGGACAAUGGGCGCGAGCCUGAUCCAGCCAUGCCGCGUGCAGGAAGACUGCCCUACGGGUUGUAAACUGCUUUUAUACAGGAAGAAACCCACGCUCGUGAGCGUGGCUGACGGUACUGUAAGAAUAAGGAUCGGCUAACUCCG